GUCUCUGAUGAUGAUCAAGUUAAAAACUUUCGUUCUUCUGAGUAUAGUCCAUGCGGAAUGUUUAUGGAGACCUGAACUGAAGAGAC